AAAGUGGAUCGGGUGAUUGCGUGUGGCUUCGGCUGCGCGAGGAAAGUCCGAGCUCCACAGGGCAGGACGCUGGCUAAUGACCAGUGGGGGUGACCUCAGGACAGUGCCACAGAAAAAAACCGCCCUGAAUGCAGAAUAUUUGUGAACAAGAUACGCAGUAAAAACGCAGAACCAGAUCCAGUCCGGUGUUUUCUUCGGAAGCACCUAUCGCAGCAAGGAAUCCACUCCGCAUUUUGAAAAGAUCGUAGCAGAUAAGAACGCAGGGUAAGGGUGCAAAGGUGGUGUAAGAGACCACCGGCAACCGGGUGACCGGUUGGCCAGGCAAACCCCGUCCGGAGCAAGGCAAACAGGGAUAACGGGCGGCCCGCCCAGAUCCCGGGUAUGCUGCUAGAGGAGUCUGGUAACAGGCUCCCCAGAGGGAUAAUCACCCCUUGUCUUCGGACAAGGACAGAACUCGGCUUAUAGAUCCACUUUUAUU
rnacentral:RNase_P_RNA from 3 species